rnacentral:rRNA from 1 species
UGGGGAAUCUUGCACAAUGGGGGCAACCCUGAUGCAGCGACGCCGCGUGAGCGAUGAAGCCCUUCGGGGCGUAAAGCUCUUUCGACCGGAACGAUAAUGACGGUACCGGGAGAAGAAGCUGCGGCUAACUACGUGCCAGCAGCCGCGGUAACACGUAGGCAGCAAGCGUUGUUCGGAGUUACUGGGCGUAAAGAGUGCGUAGGCGGUUUUCUAAGUUCGGUGUGAAAUCUCCCGGCUUAACUGGGAGGGUGCGCCGAAGACUGGGAAGCUGGAGUGUGGGAAAGGCAGGCGGAAUUCCUGGUGUAGCGGUGAAAUGCGUAGAUAUCAGGAGGAACACCGGCGGUGUAGACGGCUUGCUAGACCAUAACUGACGCUGAGGCACGAAAGCGUGGGUAGCAAACA